rnacentral:rRNA from 1 species
AGAGAUAGAGGAGUGCUCGAAGAGAGCCGUAACACAGGUGCUGCAUGGCUGUCGUCAGCUCGUGUCGUGAGAUGUUGGGUUAAGUCCCGCAACGAGCGCAACCCUUGUCAUUAGUUGCUACGAAAGGGCACUCUAAUGAGACUGCCGGUGACAAACCGGAGGAAGGUGGGGAUGACGUCAAGUCCUCAUGGCCCUUAUAGGUGGGGGCUACACACGUCAUACAAUGGCUGGUACAAAGGGUUGCCAACCCGCGAGGGGGAGCUAAUCCCAUAAAGCCAGUCGUAGUCCGGAUCGCAGUCUGCAACUCGACUGCGUGAAGUCGGAAUCGCUAGUAAUCGUGGAUCAGCAUGUCACGGUGAAUACGUUCCCGGGUCUU